CCGUCCGACUGCCGCACAAAUCUCUGCCACGUGGAGCAGGAUUGGGAAACAGACCACAAGGAACAUGAGCCUGGAAAGGUCCAACGAGGUGGCCCUCGUGUUCCUCAGGAGUGUAAACUGUUGUGGCUAAAAUGGUGCUUGAAUGGAAGCUUAACCAAAUUGCAGCCUAGGAAGAAAUUGGCUGGAUGUGGGAAAUUUCAAGCUGCAGCUGAU